rnacentral:rRNA from 1 species
GACGAACGCUGGCGGCGUGCCUAAUACAUGCAAGUAGAACGCACAGUUUAUACCUUAGCUUGCUACACCAUAGACUGUGAGUUGCGAACGGGUGAGUAACGCGUAGGUAACCUGCCUGGUAGCGGGGGAUAACUAUUGGAAACGAUAGCUAAUACCGCAUAAUAUUAAUUAUUGCAUGAUAAUUAAUUGAAAGGUGCAAUUGCACCACUACCAGAUGGACCUUCGUUGUAUUAGCUAGUAGGUGAGGUAACGGCUCACCUAGGCGACGAUACAUAGCCGACCUGGGAGGGUGAUCGGCCACACUGGGACUGAGACACGGCCCAGACUCCUACGGGAGGCAGCAGUAGGGAAUCUUCGGCAAUGGACGAAAGUCUGACCGAGCAACGCCGCGGGAGUGAAGGAGGGUUUCGGAUCGUAAAGCUCUGUUGUAAGAGAAGAACGGGUGUGAGAGUGGAAAGUUCACACUGUGACGGUAUCUUACCAGAAAGAGACGGCUAACUACGUG